AUUGAACGCUGGCGGCAUGCCUUACACAUGCAAGUCGAACGGUAACAGGUCUUCGGAUGCUGACGAGUGGCGAACGGGUGAGUAAUACAUCGGAACGUGCCUAGUAGUGGGGGAUAACUACUCGAAAGAGUGGCUAAUACCGCAUGAGAUCUACGGAUGAAAGCAGGGGAUCGCAAGACCUUGUGCUACUAGAGCGGCCGAUGGCAGAUUAGGUAGUUGGUGGGAUAAAAGCUUACCAAGCCGACGAUCUGUAGCUGGUUUGAGAGGACGAUCAGCCACACUGGGACUGGGACACGGCCCAGACUCCUACGGGAGGCAGCAGUGGGGAAGUUUGGACAAUGGGCGAAAGCCUGAUCCAGCAAUGCCGCGUGCAGGAUGAAGGCCUUCGGGUUGUAAACUGCUUUUGUACGGAACGAAAAGCCCCGGGUUAAUACCCUGGGGUCAUGACGGUACCGUAAGAAUAAGCACCGGCUAACUACGUGCCAGCAGCCGCGGUAA
rnacentral:rRNA from 1 species